UACCUGCGGAGGGUUUGAGGCAGGUCCAGGAGCGAGCCCACGGUCCGCCGACGCGGGACCAGGGGCGGGCCCCAGGAUCCGGAGCUUCGGGCGGGGCCGAGUCCGGGUUUGGGGCCCGGAAGGCGGGGCCAGUUAGGGCGAGGGUCCCUGGGAUCGUCAGGUCAGGCCUUGGGCUAACGUAGGCACUCUCGCAGUUCCUCCGCCUUCAGGAAAGUCUUUUUAGCAGGGGCCUUACGGGUUCGCGCUUUGGUCCUGGAGGCCUUAUCCUAGCCUCCUCUGUAUCAGCGCCACCAGUCUGGGGCCCGAAAGGAGGGAGCUUUCCCUCUGUCCCCCAGCCUUUGGACUGUCACCAAACAAGCCAUUCGUUCACCAAAUACUUAUUAAGCGCCUACCAUGUGCCUGACAAGGGAGAUGUAACGGUGAGAAAAACUAGGUGUGGUCCAUGUCCUCCAGGGGCUCAGGGGCUCGUGGAAGAAGUGGACAUUGAAGUAUUUAUCACACAAAUGAGUAUAAAAGUACAAUAGCGAUAUCUGCCACGAAGCUGUUGUUCCCCACCAGAACCAAAUGAGCGCAAGAUCUGACAAAGAAAAAAAGAAGUUCAUCUUUUAUUCCCCCAAACCCUUUCAUUUAAAUCAAGAGGGUGGGAUGUGGUUAUUGCUGUGUUUUUAGGCAGAAUCAACGGUUUCUGGGUCUGAGAAGUUGCAUACACACUCUCAGUCCCUGUAUCCUGAGAUGGAGUCACCUGAGGAUCCACAGCAAGUCCUAACCAGGGAUGGGUCUGGGUGAUUAAGGAAGGUUGGCUUCAGAACUGGGCCAGAGGCACUGCUUUGCUUUUGCUGUUUUGAUCAGCUCUGUGCCUGCAUGAGACAAGGAAAAUCAAUGGGAACAGCCCAGUAAAGUCGCCAUUCCCCAUUUUACAGCUGGGGAAACUGAGUUACAGAGCUUUUCUGCACUGAGUCAUCAGGAGCAAAUGCUAGAUCAGAUAGAGUCUCUCUCUCUGCCACCCAGGCCAGAGUGCAGUUGACGCAGGGCAGGGGAGCCCCGAAGUGGAGCAUAGUGUGUCCGGAACUGGUGGGUUCUUGGUCUCCCUGACUUCAAGAAUGAAGCCACGGACCCUCGGGAAAUGAGGCUUCUCCCCAGGACCAGCAUUCCACGAAGGCAGCCCUUUUCUAGAUGGAGAAAACAGAACCUGAAGACACCCGUUUCCCUAAACUGCUCUCGCUCAUGUUUCUACAAGGCCUGGAGCUGAUAGGAAAAACCUCCCUUCUUUCCCAAAUGGUCCCCAGCUGCCCCGUUCACUGAAGGCCCUGCAGUCAGGAACGGUCAGGACUUCACACCCAGUUGUUGUGGGUGUUUGGCCGACACGACACUUCCUCUUGUGUGAUUCAUGGACCCGCAGCAUUGCGUCACCUGGGAGCUUUUGGUAUUGAAGACUCUCAGGGCUCACCCGGAAGGACCUGCUGGGCCAGAAUCUACAUUUUAACAAGAUGCCCAGAAACUCCUGGAGGGCAGAGGCAUGCCUGCCAUCUUCAUCAUUGCAUUACCACCACCCAACACUAUCGGGGGACCUGCCCUGAUAAUCAGUUCCUCCCACUGAAGAAUC
rnacentral:lncRNA from 1 species